rnacentral:rRNA from 1 species
AUCCAGACUCCUACGGGAGGCAGCAGUGGGGAAUAUUGCACAAUGGGGGAAACCCUGAUGCAGCGACGCCGCGUGAAGGAAGAAGUAUCUCGGUAUGUAAACUUCUAUCAGCAGGGAAGAAAACAGACGGUACCUGACUAAGAAGCCCCGGCUAACUACGUGCCAGCAGCCGCGGUAAUACGUAGGGGGCAAGCGUUAUCCGGAUUUACUGGGUGUAAAGGGAGCGUAGACGGAAAGGCAAGUCAGAAGUGAAAACCCAAGGCUCAACCAUGGGACUGCUUUUGAAACUGUCAAACUAGAGUACGGGAGAGGUAAGAGGAAUUCCUAGUGUAGCGGUGAAAUGCGUAGAUAUUAGGAGGAACACCAGUGGCGAAGGCGUCUUACUGGACCGAAACUGACGUUGAGGCUCGAAAGCGUGGGGAGCAAGCAGGAUUAGAUACCCCCGUAAA